rnacentral:misc_RNA from 1 species
GGGGGAGGGGGAGGGAAUUGGGAUAAUGGGCAUUGGAGAGAGGUAGACCGCAGCGUGAACAAGGGAAAUCACAGUGAAUGGAGUAAGAAGAAUGCAUUUUUAAGUAGUGAAGAUAAGAGUCUAAGAGAUGGUAAUCGUUCGCGAGAUUUGGGGCUCAAUGGACAGCUUGAUCACCCAGGGCCACCAGCAGGGAGCAAUCUCCAUUCUGUUUCAGCAUCGGACAUUGAAGAGCCUUUGUUAAAUUUGGAGGCUGAAAUGAUUGAGGAUGUGAAGGAUGAAGGUGACGAAUUGGAUGAUCUUGGUGAAGAACUUGUCGAUUCUUUAUUGCUUGAGGGUGAAUCUGAUGGUAAGAAUGACAGGAAGCAAAAUCGACAUUCUCGUGAGAAGGAGUCUAGGUUAGAUAACAGGGGACAGCAGAUGCUUAGCCAAAGGAUGAGAAGGCUUAAAAGUCAGAUGGAAUGUCGCAGAGACAUUGAGGGACUAAAUGCUUCUUUUCUUGAAAUUUACGAGUCACUAGUACUGCCAGAGGAAGAGAAGGCAAAGCAGAAGCAAUUGUUAGCAUUAUUAGAGAAACUAGUCAACAAGGAAUGGCCUCAAGCUAAGUUGUAUCUUUAUGGUUCAUGUGCCAAUUCAUUUGGCGUUUUGAAGAGUGAUAUUGAUGUUUGCCUUGCCAUUGAGGAUUCAGAUAUUAACAAGUCAGAAGUGCUGUUAAAGUUGGCAGAUAUAUUGCAAUCUGAUAACCUCCAGAACGUGCAGGCAUUGCCCCGGGCUAGGGUCCCCAUAGUAAAGCUUAUGGAUCCAGUGACUGGAAUCUCUUGUGACAUAUGCAUUAACAAUGUUUUGGCUGUUGUAAAUACCAAGCUUCUUCGGGAUUAUGCACAAAUAGAUGUGAGGUUACGGCAGUUGGCUUUUAUUGUGAAACAUUGGGCGAAAUCAAGAGGAGUUAAUAAAACUUAUCAGGGAACCCUUUCUAGCUAUGCGUGAGUUAUCUUUUGAGAACUAUACUUUUUGUCCCCAAACUUGGCAGGAUAAAGUUACCUAUUGUGACAGAUUUUGAAUAUGUUUGUGUUCCUUCCAUAAUAAAUUGGUUAGCUAAUAUUUUUUUCUUUUCAGGUAUGUUUUGAUGUGCAUUCAUUUUUUACAGCAGCGUAGACCUGCUAUUCUUCCAUGCUUACAGGUCUGUAUUAUCAUUUUUCUUUUCUUAAUUUGAGGUUUUGAUAGGUAGGCUUUCAUCAUCAGUCUUGAACACCUCAAAAGAGUUGAACACGUAUUCCUAACUCCUCUUUUGUUUAUUGGCUUUCUUUUUAUCAUGUCUCUGCUGUCUAGUCCAGAUACUUGAUUCCAAGGGUUGAGGGUGUGUUGAACCUGCUAAUAUUGCUUUAAUGUCAUUAAAAUUAAGGAGCAACUAUAAUACAAAUACACCCCAUUAAGCAAUGGGUUGUGAAGAGAAACAUCUUCCCAUUCGCAAGCAUUGGCUCUUUUUUUCCUUAUUUUUGCAAGUUCUUAUGUCAUAGCACUGAAAUUCAGUUAAUCAUUCUGCUUUUUCUCAAUUGUUAAGAAUUUAAGUUAUUUAUGGUUGUAAAUUUAAUUCACUCAAGUGAACUAUGUGGCCAAGGGGACACUCUUGGUGCAAUUUUGCAGCUGCUUACAAGUUACAAUCUUAGUCUUGAUUUUUCCAUUACUAAGUAUCUUUUGGUGUAUUUUUUUCCCCUUUUGUUACUUAAUGCCAUUGGUUCUAAAUGUGUUUGGUUUCCACAUGAACUGCUCAUGCUAUGCUUUGUCUUUCAGGAAAUGGAGGCAACAUACUCGGUCACUAUAGAUGAUAUCAAAUGUGCUUACUUUGAUCGAGUGGAAAAACUUCGUGGUUUUGGAUCCCGCAACCGGGAAACAAUUGCUCAACUGGUGUGGGCUUUUUUCAAUUAUUGGGCUUAUCGUCAUGAUUAUGUGAAUGCUGUUGUAUCGGUCCGCACAGGAAGCAUAAUUAGGUAAUAAGAGAGUCUCGUCUCGUUACUAGGAAUUUUGUUUGCUUGAUCAUGAGAUUUAUUAUGCCAUGGUUAUUCCUAUAUAUAGUCAUUGUCCCAAGGACCUGUCCGCAACAUCCUGCAAAAAUUUUGGGAGGGGUUUUUCUCCCUAGCGUCAUUUGGCCUGGCAAUAAACUGGGCUUGGGAUUGGAAAACACUUUCCUUAUAGCUUGCCCCAAGGAUUACAAUUUAUUUUUUUAUUAACUUAGCUGAGCUUGGUCAAGAAGUUAGCCUGAAAUGUCAGGCUGGGUGUGAAUGAUAAAUCUCAGCCUGAAACUGGGUUGGCAUGGACAAUGUCUCAAUGAUCAGGUCUUAUGGUUCCUCUGUUCUUGAAUGAGGGUCGAUGUUUAUUUUUAGCAUAAUAUCAAGGAGCCUUUUGUCUUGAAUCUUGAUGAAAUUGAGAGUUGCAAAUCCCCCAACGAAAAGAAAAAAAAUUGAAAUGACUUAAGCAAUUUUUAUGGUGGGAAGGAGCUUCAAAACCUCCGAUUAUUUGUUUCAUAGUUAGACUUAGGGAUGAUAUGGCUAUAUUUUUCAUCAAUGAGAAAAUUUCAAGAUGGAAAUCAUCUAAGCUUUUUACUGCAGUUGGCUGACUAUUCCUCAAUUUUUAAUUUCACAGUAAGCAGGAAAAGGACUGGACAAGGAGAGUUGGGAAUGAUCGUCAUUUGAUAUGCAUAGAGGACCCGUUUGAGACAUCUCAUGACCUGGGUAGAGUGGUGGAUAAGUUUAGCAUAAAAGUUUUGAGGGAGGAGUUUGAACGUGCUGCGGAUAUCAUGCAAUAUGAUCUUAAUCCUUGUGUAACGCUCUUUGAACCUUAUGUUCCUUAGUUCACUCUGCUUGAAUAAGCAUAUUAGAUGUAAUUAUGGCAUGAAUUAUGCUCAGGUUGUAAAGCCCCUUCUGUCAUCUCUCCUCAUUUUUGUCAGAAAUGUGUUGGGCGGGCUUUUUGUUUAUGUCCUGUUAAUUAUUAAAGGAAUUUCUGGUCUAGUGAAUUCUCUAACUACAAUUAUAGGUUCGAAGGUAUUGAAAUCUGACUAAAAUUCAGCAAAAACUCUCUGUGCGAUAAAACCUGGAAUCCUAAACAACAGUAUCUGGAGGAAUUAACAUGAUUGUGCUUCCUUUCUUCCUUUUUAU